rnacentral:tRNA from 1 species
GUGACAGUUGCCAAGCGGUAAGGCACUUGGAUAUCACCUUAUUCACGCACUUGUCCGCAAGGGCCGAAGAAUGAGGGUUAUCGAUUAGGGACCCAAGCAUCGGAGGUUCGACUCCUCCCUGUGACU